UACAAUACACCAUGAAGUUUAUGAUGCUCAUUCCUGUAGGACCAGUCCAAGAAUCGCACAUAAGAGUCACACCAAAGUUCUUCCAGUCUUGUUUGAAUUUUUGAAGAAACAAAUUAGCUUCAUCAUAGUUGGCCUCCAAAUAUUGCCCAUCAAUCUCCUUCCCGGUUGGUAUAGGAAUGGGCCCUAAUUGUUGAGUGAUCUUCACAGCAGCUCGAAAGUAUGGACAAUCAGCUUUAAGUCCAGCAAUAUAAUUGGCAUGAAAAAACUUGGACCAAGCUAGGCCAAGUGCAUCUCUUGAAUUAGGAUUCAAAGCACUACUGAUCUUGGGCUGCAUAGAUACUUUGUUGCUGGAUAAUUGCUUGUCAAAAUAGGCGUUGAUACUCCUUUUACCAACAGAAACCCGCACAUCACCCACACUCUCCCUGGCAAUUCUCCUUUCAACUCUGCGAGAGACAUUCGGG
rnacentral:lncRNA from 1 species